rnacentral:rRNA from 1 species
UCUCCUUGGGAAACGGGUGGUAAUGCCGGAUGUUCCACAUGAUCGCAUGUGAUUGUGGGAAAGAUUUCAUCGGCGUGGGAUGGGGUCGCGUCCUAUCAGCUUGUUGGUGAGGUAACGGCUCACCAAGGCUUCGACGGGUAGCCGGCCUGAGAGGGCGACCGGCCACAUUGGGACUGAGAUACGGCCCAGACUCCUACGGGAGGCAGCAGUGGGGAAUAUUGCACAAUGGGCGCAAGCCUGAUGCAGCGACGCCGCGUGAGGGAUGGAGGCCUUCGGGUUGUAAACCUCUUUUGUUUGGGAGCAAGCCUUCGGGUGAGUGUACCUUUCGAAUAAGCGCCGGCUAACUACGUGCCAGCAGCCGCGGUAAUACGUAGGGCGCAAGCGUUAUCCGGAUUUAUUGGGCGUAAAGGGCUCGUAGGCGGCUCGUCGCGUCCGGUGUGAAAGUCCAUCGCUUAACGGUGGAUCUGCGCCGGGUACGGGCGGGCUGGAGUGCGGUAGGGGAGACUGGAAUUCCCGGUGUAACGGUGGAAUGUGUAGAUAU